UCAUGAAUUUAGGAGAAAAUAAAGUUGUAGAUUGUUAAAGUGCAUAAGGCAAAGUUAUUAAAUAAGAGCAAAACGGUGCAGUUUGAAUAAGUUUUAAAAUGCAUCGUUUCAUUAAACUAUCAAAUGAAUAUUGAAGAAGAGGAGACUUGUUCACUAUUGGUGAUAUUUGUUCUAUCCUUAUGUUUGUGUUUUCUUUGACUAAAAAAGGGAUCUAGGGUUGUGAUGAGCUUCUUCAAUCUAACAUGAUUUCAACAGCGGUGAUGCAAUGAUUAAGGCACAUGCACUACAAUGGUAGACUUGUAAGAGGACUUUAAGGUAUAUCAAAAGUACUCUUGACAGUGGUAUACUCUUCAAACUAUUAUCACAUUUCAAAGUUGAGGUUUAUGUUGAUCCAAACUGGGUUGAAAGUAUUGGAGAUAAAAAGUCUACAAGUGGGUUUUAUUUCUUUUUAGGGAGAAUAUAAUGCAAUGGUGUUCCAAAAAACAAAAAGUAAUGGCUCUAUCUUCUACAAAGUUUGUAUACAGAGUGGUAAGUAAGUAUCCACUGAAAUAGAUUGGUUAAGGAGCUUUUUAAGCGAGAUACAUAUGUAUUAUCACAACCUAACAGUGACAUGGUGGGACAAUAUGAGUGCAGGGGCUUUGGCUUCUAAUUUUAUAUUUCAUAGUAGAACAAAACACAUAUAAAUUGAUAUUCAUUUUAUAAAAGAGCAGGUAGCUGCUAAGAAGUUGGGAAUUCAAUAUGUGCCCAUUGAUUUUCAAGUGGUUGAUAUUUUUACUAAGCUUUUAUUUACUAUUAGGUUCUCUAUGUCAGGACUAAGUUAAAUACUGGUUUAUAUUAUAAAAAAGAGGCUAAUGUUUGUCAACAGAGAGAAGAACAAAAGAGUAAAUAUGAUUUAGUUGUUGUGUAUUUGCCUUGUUCACUUUUUGCAAGUCAUGCAUUGACAUUUUGUCUUGAGGGAGGAAGUUAAAGUGUACAAGGUAGGAGUAUUAAAUAAGAGCAAAAUAGUGUGGUUUAAAUAAGUUUCAAAAUGUAUCAUUUCAUUAAACCAUCAAAUGAAAAUCGAAGAAGAGGAGACUUGUUCAUUGUUGAUAAUAUUUGUUUUAUCUCUA